UACGGAGGAUGCGAGCGUUAUCCGGACUUAUUGGGUUUAAAGGGUGCGUAGGCGGAUUUUUAAGUCAGCGGUAAAAUGUCCGGGCUCAACCCGGGCCGGCCGUUGAAACUGGGGAUCUUGAGUGGGCGAGAAGUAUGCGGAAUGCGUGGUGUAGCGGUGAAAUGCAUAGAUAUCACGCAGAACUCCGAUUGCGAAGGCAGCAUACCGGCGCCCGACUGACGCUGGGGCACGAAAGCGUGGGGAUCGAACAGG
rnacentral:rRNA from 1 species